AUUUACAAAUUUUAUUUUUAUAAAAUAUUUAUAUUUUACAGUUAAUAAUUGUUAUUAAGUAACGCUAUAACACGAAUCCAUGAGACAAUUGUUAAAAAACUGAAGUUGUAACCCCUAUUAAAACAGCAUAUUAAUAAUAUUUUAAAAUUUUAUAAAUAUUGAUUCAAAUACAUCCACCAUAUAACCCAAUUCCUAAAUAAAACAUGUUCUAUAAUUUCUUUAUCCGUCCCGUGAUUUUUUUUUAAAGUAGUAAUUUUUAAAAUUUAAGAAUUAUUUUUUAUAUAUAAAAGUUUUGCAAAUUGUAUCAUUCUCUAAUACAUUUAUAUUUUAUAGUUUAAUUUC
rnacentral:sRNA from 1 species